CCCAACUCCUUCACAGACUUGUACAUCUCUCCAUGUUUCAGUUUUCCCAUCUAUAAAAUAGGAAAGAAAAUACUUAUGUGACAGAGAUGUUAUGAGACCUAAUUCACUGAUGUGCUUUGAGACACUCACAUGGAAGGGUUCCAGACACGUCAUCCAUGUUUUCUGUCAACUUUAAAACAAGAUGAAAGAAACUAAUACUUCAUAUCUACAAUAUAAGCUAUACAGACCCUUUCACUAUUCACUUUGAAGGGUCCUAAUAUGAGAACGCAAGUGCCACAUUGUAAGGGCCAGGUCAAUUACUGGCUCCCUUUUCAUCAACUUCUUCCUUUCUUUGAAUCUGGAUUCCCAAAGUGCCAGGGAAAGUGACACAGGAGCUCUUACAUUGUUACGGCAAGGCAAGCUUCAGUCUGCUUUCCUUUGGAUGAAGAUGCAUACCUUCAAACUGUUUUACCUCAUCACUGGGCCUCAGUAACAAAAAUCAUCUCCAUGCAAUCUUCCAUGACACUCUCUACAUAUGGAACCACCUUCCUAACCUGGUUCACAAAGCCAAUGUCCUCUCCUCACUUAGAUUCCCCUGAAGAGCCACUUAUUUCAUGAUGACUACAAGAAACUAGCUAAGUCAGCUACUUAUUUAAUGUAUUUAACCAAUGAGUGAACUGUUCAUUGAUGCAGAGCGGAGAUGUGAUCCAGGGACCUCUUGAUGCUAACUGGCAGAGGUCACAGGGGUGCAUCAGUUUGUACCGGGAUCCUUUGGGUUGGAUAUCUGCAUAAUACUUCACCAGAGGGUAACAUGUGAGGUCUGUACUGAGAGCCAGUAGCUUAUUGGUCAUUGUGAAAUAUAUGUAUGGAUAAUAUUUAAGGACUUAUUUAUCUUUACUGAAAAUUAUAUUCUUAGGGUUUUGGGAUUAAGACAGAUUACCAGAAGGUGAAAUACUUCAGAGAUGUUCUUUUCAGGCAGGAGGUAACUGACACUUAUCUCCCGGUUUUCCCAUUUGUGCAUUUUAUGCCUAAUUGCAUUCUGAGCCAGGUGCAAAUUAAGAGAUUACAAAAUCUACAAGAGAGAAAAUCUACAGGACAAAACAAAUAGCGAGGGUGUCUUGCUUAUGAAUAAAGACAAAGGACUGGGCUGGUAUAUCUUGUAGUGCAAAGGAACACACACAAUCCUUCACCUAGAAGGCAGACUGACAGAAUGCGUGUCUCAUGAAAGGAGGGUUACAGCUAGCCUGCUGAAACUUACUGCAAAGCCUUUGGAUGAUCAUUACUCUACAGGACAU